rnacentral:rRNA from 1 species
GACGAACGCUGGCGGCGUGCUUAACACAUGCAAGUCGAGCGGUAAGGCCCUUUCGGGGGUACGACGAGCGGCGAACGGGUGAGUAACACGUGGGUGACCUGCCCUCAGCUCUGGGAUAAGCCUGGGAAACCGGGUCUAAUACCGGAUAUGACUCCAUGACGCAUGUUGUGGGGUGGAAAGCCUUGUGCGGCUGAGGAUGGGCCCGCGGCCUAUCAGCUUGUUGGUGGGGUGAUGGCCUACCAAGGCGACGACGGGUAGCCGGCCUGAGAGGGCGACCGGCCACACUGGGGACUGAGACACGGCCCAGACUCCUACGGGAGGCAGCAGUGGGGAAUCUUGCGCAAUGGGCGAAAGCCUGACGCAGCGACGCCGCGUGAGGGAUGACGGCCUGG